rnacentral:tRNA from 1 species
GGGCCUCUAGCUCAACUGGUUAGAGCUCCGGACUUUUAAUCCGUAGGUUGUGGGUUCGAGUCCCACGGGGCCUA